rnacentral:rRNA from 1 species
AGCGAACGCUGGCGGCAGGCCUAACACAUGCAAGUCGAACGAACCUUUCGGGGUUAGUGGCGGACGGGUGAGUAACACGUGGGAACGUGCCUUUAGGUUCGGAAUAACUCAGGGAAACUUGUGCUAAUACCGAAUGUGCCCUUCGGGGGAAAGAUUAAUCGCCUUUAGAGCGGCCCGCGUCUGAUUAGCUAGUUGGUUGAGGUAAUGGCUCACCAAGGCGACGAUCAGUAGCUGGUCUGAGAGGAUGAUCAGCCACAUUGGGACUAAGACACGGCCCAAACUCCUACGGGAGGCAGCAGUGGGGAAUCUUGCGCAAUGGGCGAAAGCCUGACGCAGCCAUGCCGCGUGAAUGAUGAAGGUCUUAGGAUUGUAAAAUUCUUUCACCGGGGACGAUAAUGACGGUACCCGGAGAAGAAGCCCCGGCUAACUUCGUG